GGCAGUAUCAAUUAGUAAUAUAAGAUUCGCUAGAACUUUUCUUGUUAUUUAAAAUAAAUGUAGGAUUGAAAAAGUCAAUACAAUAGCGGCGUAUUCUAGUGUAUAUUCAACGCCAAUCUUAAAUUUAGCUUGAAAGUUGGGUUUUUGGCUCAAGUUCAAGUGGGGCAGUAACAAACGAUCCCGCCAUGCCUCGUCAAUGAGACAGCUUAAUGCCGUCCUGAAGCCUGAAGGCAGGACAAAUGCUCUGUCGUUGAGCAUGCCAACUCUCUCUCAACUCAACUUAAGUAACGUGUGUAUUGUCCUCGGUACGGCGUUUUCCCAUUUUAAUUAAUGGUCGACGGGUUUAAGAAAUGCGAUGACUCGGAAAAUAUUGGCUCCCGCAUGAUUUCCAGUGAAGUUGAUUUUUAUGUCGAUCCCAGCAAUUCUUUAACUCCCCGUUAGUUUCGUCCCAUUGGCUUAUCGAAUAAUAAAACAUUCACGUUUCCAAAUAAAAAAAACUUGUAUAAGCUUUUACGAUUUCAGUUAUGAAUUGGAUGGAUGUAUUGACUUCAAUAUAUAAAAAAUAACUUUAUGUACGCUCGUACAAACAAACAAAUUGUACAUGUAUAAUAU